rnacentral:rRNA from 1 species
GAUGAACGCUGGCGGUGUGCCUAACACAUGCAAGUCGAGCGGCCGCACGAUAAGCUCUUGCUCUUGCUGUUAGCGGGGGACGGGCGAGUAACACGUGCAUAACCUACUUAUUUGUCUGGGAUAAUUACGGGAAACCGCUUACACUACUGGCUAAUAUUUCCAACCGCAUGGAUCAAAAGAUCUUGACGGCUUUCCCGUCUCUUAUAGACGGUUCCGGGUUGCAUUAGCUAGUUGGUAAGGUAACGGCCUACCAAGGCGACGAUGCGUAGCUGAGCUGAGAGGAUGAUCAGCCACACUGGAACUGAGACACGGUCCAGACUCCUACGGGAGGCAGCAGUGGGGAAUAUUGGACAAUGGGCGAAAGCCUGACCGAGCAAUACCGCGUGGGUGAAGAAGGUCUUCGGGUUGUAAAGCUCUGUUGUUGGGAAAGAACAGAAGUAGGUGAAAACCUGGCCGUCUUGACGGUACCCAAAGAAUAAGCACCGGCUAACUUCGUG